rnacentral:snRNA from 1 species
UUAAUGGCGUUUUGGCUGCA